GACAGAGGGCGCGAGCGUUGUUCGGAAUUACUGGGCGUAAAGCGCACGCAGGUGGCUGAGUCAGUCGAUUGUGAAAGCCCUGGGCUUAACCUGGGAAUUGCAGUCGAUACUACUUAGCUAGAGUAUGGGAGAGGGCAGUGGAAUUCCCGGUGUAGCGGUGAAAUGCGUAGAUAUCGGGAGGAACAUCAGUGGCGAAGGCGGCUGCCUGGCCCAAUACUGACACUCAGGUGCGACAGCGUGGGGAGCAAACAGG
rnacentral:rRNA from 1 species